rnacentral:rRNA from 1 species
GUCUACGGCCAUGCCACCCUGAACAAACCCGAUGUCUGAUUUCAGAAGCUAAGCAGGAGUGGGCCUGUUUAGUACUUAGAUGGGAAACCACCUAGGAAGACCAGGUGCUGUAUGCA